rnacentral:rRNA from 1 species
UACUUUGAAAGAGAGAGUUCAAGAGAACGUGAAAUCGUUGAAGUGGAACCGGAGAGAGUUGACGUAGUCUGAUGGAUAAGUAUUACAAGAAUCGCAUUCGCAUUAUGUGAAUGAUGAUCAAGUAUUAUGUAUGCCAUCAAUGACUGUGCUGACAGCAUCGACUACAUAAUCUGAACUGUGUUGACAUGUUGCCCAUUCUAUAUUAUGUAGAGUGGUGUCUUGUGUUAUGUGGUGAAGUUUAUUGUUUGUUGAUGUUGAAAAGUAUAUAUUUAUUAUUGUAUUAAUAAUUAUGUCAGCGUAAAAGUCAACCACCUCUCCGACCCGUCUUGAAACACGGACCGAGGAGUGUAACUUGUACGCGAGUCAAUAGGUGGAAAACCUAAAGGCGAAACGAAAGUGAAGGUACGGUUAACCGGCUGACAUGGGAAACGUGCGUUAUGAAUACGUGACGAAACGUUACACCAUGGCCCUGUCUUGUCUGCAUGCAGAUGGGCAGCGGUAGAGCGUACAGGUUGCGACCCGAAAGAUGGUGAACUAUGCCUGAGCAGGACGAAGUCAGAGGAAACUCUGGUGGAAGUCCGUAUCGGUUCUGACGUGCAAAUCCGAUCGAUAGACU